UACGUAGGGGGGCUAGCGUUGUCCGGAUUUAUUGGGCGUAAAGAGCGUGUAGGCGGCCAUGUAGGUCCGGUGUGAAAACUCGAGGCUUAACCUCGAGAUGUCAUCGGAAACCAUUUGGCUAGAGUCCGGGAGAGGUGAGUGGAACUGCGAGUGUAGAGGUGAAAUUCGUAGAUAUUCGCAAGAACACCAGUGGCGAAGGCGGCUCACUGGCCCGGAACUGACGCUGAGGUGCGAAAGCGUGGGGAGCAAACAGG
rnacentral:rRNA from 1 species